rnacentral:rRNA from 1 species
UGCAGUCGAGCGCGAUAGGGGCAACCCUUAGUAGAGCGGCGCACGGGUGCGUAACACGUGGAUAAUCUGCCUGGAUGCCCGGGAUAACCAGUCGAAAGAUUGGCUAAUACCGGAUAAGCCCACGGUUUCUUCGGAGACUGAGGGAAAAGGUGGCCUCUGUAUACAAGCUAUCACAACCAGAUGAGUCCGCGGCCCAUCAGCUAGUUGGCGGGGUAAUGGCCCACCAAGGCAACGACGGGUAGCUGGUCUGAGAGGACGAUCAGCCACACUGGAACUGAGACACGGUCCAGACUCCUACGGGAGGCAGCAGUGGGGAAUUUUGCGCAAUGGGCGAAAGCCUGACGCAGCAACGCCGCGUGUGUGAUGAAGGUCUUCGGAUUGUAAAGCACUUUCGACCGGGACGAAAACCCGUUGGCUAACAUCCAACGGCUUGACGGUACCGGGAGAAGAAGCACCGGCUAACUCUGUGCCAGCAGCCGCGGUAAUACAGAGGGUGCAAGCGUUGUUCGGAAUUAUUGGGCGUAAAGCGCGUGUAGGCGGCGUGACAAGUCGGGUGUGAAAGCCCUCAGCUCAACUGAGG